UGUGAGGAAUGCAUCCAACUACUAGUUUUGGAGGUGCCAGGAUUAAAGCAGAGAACCAAGCAGGAAAUUGGAGCAGCAGGAGGGAGAUGCGGGAUAUUGGGACAAGGCUGUAUGGCAGAGGCUUUGCCACUGUGGACAGAAUGGGAGUUUAUUACGGAAAGGAGAAGCAGCAUAACAGUGGGUCUGGCAAGAGGGUUGACGAUGUGGAGGUACUGAAUGAAGCCUCUGUUGUCUCCUCAGGUACAGGUUUGGGAGCUAUUUGACAAAGGCUUGAAGCUAUAGUUUGUGAGAAUGACCUUCAGUACUAGAGAGAUAAUGGACAAUAAAUCAAACUUCAUUUUAGUCAAGAUCCAAGGAACCAAUACUGUCAAAAGUUUCUUCCACUAGUAACCAUGAAUUACCAAGAUAUACUCAAAGGUCUAGUUAAGGAAUUUAUUUUGUGACUGCAUUGAAAACAAACUCCUCAAAUAGCGCCAUCCUUACUGUGCUGUGACCUGUAUACUCCUAACCGUUCAGAAGAGUGAAGAAAGAAACGCUGGAAGAGAAUGUGUUUAAAAAUACACAUUUAACCUGUUCCUCAAAGCCAUACCUAAGAAUUCGCCUUUUGAGUUUGCUUCUGGUUCAUGGGGGCUUCGAGGAAGAUUGUUUCACAUGACUUGGAGAGCGCAAGAAAGGCAGCAGCCAUUUUGUAGCAUGUACACAUCUUCUUGCAGGUAUUCUGCCAAAUACUAAUUUUGGCUUUAUGAAAACCGAGAAAGCCACUGUUCAUGCAGAGUGGAAAUAACGUUGUAAUCCCACUUGGAUCAGUCUUAGUGAGGACCACUAAUUGCAAAACAACUUUCCCCACCAUGGUUGAGGGAGGGCCCAUGGGAAGAGGGCAUCUGACUUAAGCAGGAAGAGGAGGGUCCUUCCUCAGGAUAUUAUGCCUGCAUCGCCAUGCCUUCCCACGUGGUAAAGCCGUGAGAGAAGGGUUGAUAGUGGUCCACACCAUGUCUUCCAUAGUGCGCAAGAAAGUCUGCAGUAAGAGCCAAUAAUGUGACACCACAGGGAGAGGAAAGAAAAGGGCCAGUGAAGGGGGAAACCUGCUAGUUUCGUGGGAGGUUCCAGCUGCCUCUAAGACCCUGACUCUCCUGAGGGUAGCUAAAUUUUGGAUUAUUAUAAAUUGCAU